rnacentral:rRNA from 1 species
GAUGAACGCUGGCGGCGUGCCUAAUACAUGCAAGUCGAGCGAACAGACGAGGAGCUUGCUCCUCUGACGUUAGCGGUGGACGGGUGAGUAACACGUGGAUAACCUACCUAUAAGACUGGGAUAACUUCGGGAAACCGGAGCUAAUACCGGAUAACAUGUUGAACCGCAUGGUUCAACAGUGAAAGACGGUCUUGCUGUCACUUAUAGAUGGAUCCGCGCCGCAUUAGCUAGUUGGUAAGGUAACGGCUUACCAAGGCAACGAUGCGUAGCCGACCUGAGAGGGUGAUCGGCCACACUGGAACUGAGACACGGUCCAGACUCCUACGGGAGGCAGCAGUAGGGAAUCUUCCGCAAUGGGCGAAAGCCUGACGGAGCAACGCCGCGUGAGUGAUGAAGGUCUUCGGAUCGUAAAACUCUGUUAUUAGGGAAGAACAAAUGUGUAAGUAACUAUGCACGUCUUGACGGUACCUAAUCAGAAAGCCACGGCUAACUACGUG